UACGUAGGGGGCAAGCGUUGUCCGGAUUCAUUGGGCGUAAAAGAGCGUGUAGGCGGCCUAGAUAGGUCGGUUGAUGAAAACUGGAGGCUCAACCUUCAGACGUCGACCCAAAACCCCCCUGGCUAGAGUCCGGAAGAGGAGAGUGGAAUUCCGUGGUGUAGCGGUGAAAUGCGCAGAUAUCAGGAAGAACACCCGUGGCGAAGGCGGCUCUCUGGGACGGUACUGACGCUGAGACGCGAAAGCGUGGGGAGCGAACAGG
rnacentral:rRNA from 1 species